rnacentral:rRNA from 1 species
AUUGAACGCUGGCGGCAGGCCUAACACAUGCAAGUCGAGCGCGCGGCGGACGGGUGUGUCAUGUAUGGGGAUCUGCCAGAUGGCGGGGGAUAACUACUGGAAACGGUGGCUAAUCCCGCAUACUAUCGGCUGAACCCAUAUUGGAUUAGCUAGUAGGUGGGGUAAAGGCUCACCUAGGCGACGAUCUCUAGCUGGUCUGAGAGGAUGAUCAGCCACACUGGAACUGAGACACGGUCCAGACUCCUACGGGAGGCAGCAGUGGGGAAUAUUGCACAAUGGGCGCAAGCCUGAUGCAGCCAUGCCGCGUGUAUGAAGAAGGUCUUAGGGUUGUAAAGUACUGUCAGCGGGGAGGCGUUACCCGCAGAAGAAGCACCGGCUAACUCCGUGCCAGCAGCCGCGGUAAUUC